ACUUUACCCAUCAGGUCCCUACCCUGAAGAAGCUAGAAACCACGCUCCAUUCUCCUCUCAAAAGAGAUGAAACUUGACCCCUUCUCCUUCACUCUGUCAACGGCGCACCCCUCUCCAUUUUUCAACAAGAGACGAACCUUAUUGUUCUGCCUUUUGAUUUGUUUCAAGCUUAAUUUUCGAAGCUGUAGUGCUAAUGUCAAUGUUGAUGGGAAAAUUGUGAAUUUGGGUCUCUGGAAUACUGCUUAAAAUCGGCUGGGACUGACAUGGUCAUGGUUGCUGCUGUUAUUUUGUUGAAGGCUUGUAACUGGGUUUUCAUUUUUAUAGCUAUUGUUUCUUGCCUUCAUUUGACUCACUCUAGUGCUGUCUUCCGUUCGAUUUAGGUAAGUUCCGAAUCUUACUUGUAUUACAUCUGUAUUGAGUGAUUGAAUUGUUAAAUCUCUUAUGUGAUUUUACGGAUUUGCUUGAGUUUCACAAUCAAAUGUCCAGCAAUGUGUGUGGUGUUUUAAUUUGGGAAAAUACUGAAAAUAGUGAAAUAGAUUAAAAUGACACCUACAUGGGUUAAUUUCCAAUUCUUAAUUUCGGUUGGAAUACUGUUAUUGUUUGUUUGACUAUUCUAAGUUCAAUUGCAUUUUUUUAGUUUGAAACUAGGUACAGUAAAUAAAAUUCCCAUGUGAAGCCAUUUUUGAGAUAUGCGAAUUUUACUCAUAAUUUUAAACUUGGUUGAUCUUACGCAAGGCUACAUUUCUGUUGUGAGUUUAAGAAGAUUAAGGAAGCUAGUGGUGCUAUUGUGCUUACAGCUUAGGUUUGGUUUUAUUAGUUGCGCCUUUUGAGGCUUUUUGUUAAAGUCAUUGCUUUCAAUUAGCCAAUGGAGUAUUUAAACCUUGGGAUUUACUGCUUUGAAAUACAUUUGAGAUGUUUCAGUGUAUUGGGAUGUUGACUGUUAAAUCGCCUAUUGAUACAAAUUAGCAUAUAUUUUGAAUGCUUUUGGCUGUUAGUUUCAUGAUAAAAAAUGGGAGCCAUCUUUUCUCCUCCAAAAUAUGAAACCAGCGGCAGACUUUGAGAAUUGCUAAACAAAGAGAAAAAAAGCAAAUCUUAAAAAUUCCAAAGCUAAGAAGUCGUUUGCAGCAAACAAAAAAAAAGGCAAAGUUAUCAUGUAAGAUCUUUGAAGCAUACAGUUUCACAUUAGGCUACUAACAUGUACAGUAACAUCUAAUGUAAGGCAAAAAUGAAAUAAUUUUAGUAAUAUAAACAAAGUGUGUCGUCUCAUUAAGAUGCGAAAUAUGUUGUUGGGAUUAAUUAGCUUUAGAAAAAUAAUUAAUUAAUAUCGUAGUUUGCUUUAGGCGUGAUUAAUAAACUAUUGUAACUAUGGGUACAGUUCCCGUGGCAUGGGUGCCUAAUUCCAAAAUUCGGGGGUGCAUUUCAUGUAACUCGAUUAUAAUAACUUCGAAUAAGAAAAACCCUUUGAAAUAAUUUGAAGCGUGCCAUGCCAAAUAAAAUCCCUAAACUCAUGGCCCUCAUUUAAUUAAUUUUAAUCCUUUAGAAAUCGAGGUGUGCCAUUUAGCUGAAUUUUCCAUGGCCCUCGCAAACUUGAAAUGCGUAGUUGCUUUAGGCGCGCUAUUUAAAUUAAUUUCCUUAAACUCGGGUGUGCAUUUCAUGUGACCCAAAUCCAAAUCUCAACAAUGUUAAAUAAAAUGUGUCGUGGACUGCGGGUGCAUUUCAUGUAGCGUAGUUCAAGACGUGUUUUAGAUAAUGUUGAAUCUUCCUAAAAUAAGUUAAAAUGUACCAUAUGCUGAAACAUGUAUUAAAAUCAGAUAAUAGGCCAAUUAUAAUAGUUUAAGCAACCGUGCUAGAACCACGGAAUCCGGGGGUACCUAACACCUUCCCUCGGGUUAACAGAAUUCCUUAUUUAGAAUUUCUGGUUCGCAGGUUUCAAAAGGAAAGUCGAAAUUUCCUCGAUUUGGGAUUUGAAAUAAAUCGGUGACGUGAGACACCAAAUAAACUAUCCCAAGUGGAGACUCUGAAUUGAAUAAUUAAUCCUAUUUCGGAUAAUGUCACUUAAAUUGGAAAAACUCCGUUGUAUACCUCUCGAGGUUUAAAAAGGAGGUGUGACAGCUGCGAGGAAACAACAAGUAACAAAAGGAAAACAACAUAUAAAUGUAAAGAACACCAUAAUUCAAUUAUCAACAAGAAUCGAAAAUCCAAGACAAGUGCACGACAUCACCCUUCGUGCUUUUACUCUCGUCCUCACUAUAAGAAUCAAUAUAAUCUGCACGACAUCACCCUUCGUGCAUUUAUUCCCGUCCUCACCAUAAAAAAAAUCAAUAUAAUCGGUACGGCAUCUCCCUUCGUGCUUUUACCUCACAUAAUCAUGGCACGGAAUGAUCCUUCGUGAAUUGUCACUCAUAUCAUGGCACGGAAUUGUACAUCGUGCGGUACGACAUCACUCUUUGUGCAUUAACACUCUCUCACAAUAUCGGCACGGCAUCACCCUUCGUGCAUUAACACUCUCUCAUAAAUAUCAUGCACGAUAUCACCCUUCAUGCUUUAACACUCUUCCUUACCCAAAAAAUAAUCACAAAGAAAUAAGGGCAAGGGAAUCAAUAAAAUCACAAUAAAAUUUCGGCAAGGGAACAAUAGUAUAACAACAAUAUCCCGGCAAGGGAAACAAUAUCAUAAAUAAUAACGUCCCCGCAAGGGAGAUAAUAUCAAAAGCAACAACAUUCCGACAAGGGAGACAAUAUCAUAAACCUCUUCUCUUUCCCACAUUUACUUCACAACUCUAUUCACAACUUAAGCCAAUGCUCUACAAUGUUCAAUUGCCAAUAAUAUUUCCACAAAUCAUUUUACAACUUGAGCCAACGCUCUUCAAUGUUCAACUACCAAUAAUACUUCCACAAGCCUUGUUCAAUAAUCGAAAUCUUCAUAUAAAGCAUGAACAAUACGAAACAGAGUCAUAUUAACCAUAGUAUAAAAUUCAUGGGCAUGCUUGACACCAUCGUAUAGAUACUCAUCACCAUGCCUAUACGUCGUACUCAAUAAUUAAACAUAGCAAAUAAGACACGACUCCUAAUCCCUCAAGCUAAGGUUAGACCAAACACUUAUCUUGAUGCCACGAACACAAUUCAAUCCUCAACUACCGCUUUACCUCUUGUUUCCACCACCAAUUCGCUUGUAUCUAGCCACAAUUUACUCAACGAUAUCAAUAAAUGCUAAAUGAAUCAAUUCUAAUGCAUGAAAAUAGGUUUUAUAAAGAUUUCCCCAAAAUGUCAAAAAUUAACCCUAGACCCACAUGGUCAAAACCCGAAGUUCGAACCAAAACUCGAUUACCCAUGAACCCAAAUAUAUAAUUUGUUUUGAAAUCGGACCUCAAAUCGAGGUCCAAAUCCCAAAAAUUUGAAAAAACCUAAGUUCUACCAAAAAUAACAAAUUUCCCUCAUGAAAACCCUUGAUUUUGAGUUGAAAUCAUAUGAAAAAAUGUUAAAGAUUAAUGAAAACGAGUUAGAAAUGACUUACAAUCGAUUUGGAAGAGUAGCUGUCUUUGAAAAAUUGCCCAAAGGUGUUUAGGUUCUGAGAAAGUUUGAAAAAUGAGAGAUUUUCGGCUAAGUCGUGAUUUACACAGGCGCAGAUAUCGCAAUUGCGAAGCCUGGUUCGCAAAUGCAAACUCGCAAUUGUGGCCAAAGCUUCGUAAUUGCGAAGGAUGGCCUAUGUCUGCUUUCUUCGCAAAUGCGAACAAUGUUCGCAAUUGCGGUGCCUGUCAAGGUCGCAUUUGCGACAUAAGCUAAUAUGAAGGUUCCCUAUCCAGCCAGUCUUCGAAAAUGCGAGGGGUUUUUCGCAAAUGCAGGCUCGCAAUUGCGAGCCAGGCUUGCGAAGCAUGCAGAUCUGCAAUAUACCAGCAGUUUUUCCUAAGUUCAAAACACUCUGUGGCCUAUCCAAAUAUCAACCGAGCCCUCGGGGCUCCAAACCAAACAUGCACGCAAGUCCAAAAAUAUCAUAUGGACUUGCUCAUGCAAUCAAAUCAUCAAAAUAACAUCAAUAACUAUGAAUUUAGCAUCAAAAUCAAAAACAAAUCUCAUGAACUCUUAAGUUCCAAUUUUAACAACCGAUGGUCUGAUUCACGUCAUAUCAAGUCCGUUUCUUACCAAAUCUUACAGGCUCGACUUAAAUACCAUAUAAGACCUGUACCGGGCUCCAGAACUAAAAUACGGUCCCGAUACCAUCAAAUUCAAACAUAUUUAAAUUUUUGAAAACUCUUAUAAUUUCAGUCAAACAAUUUUCUUCAAAAAUUUAUUUCUCGGGCUUGGGACUUCGGAAUUCGAUUCCGGCCAUACGCCCAAGUCCAUAUUUUCCUACGGACCCUCAGGGACCGUUAAAUCACGGGUCCGGGUCCAUUUACCCAAAAUGUUGACCGAAGUCAACUUAAAUUCAUUUUAAAAGCAAAAUUUAUCAUUUUUCACAGAUUUCCACAUAAUAGCUUUUCGGAUACACGUCCGGACUACACACGUAAUCCGAGGUGAGACAAAAGGGAGGUUUUAAGGCCUCAAAAUAUAGAAUUUAUUUCUAAAAUAAGUGAUGACCUUUUGGAUAAUCACAAAAAGCAACCCUUAGGCUUUAUGGUCGAAUGAGGACUUGCUCGAACUCGAGAUAAGGUGGCCCUUGGGCUCGAUAGAUAGUCCAUGAGUGAGAAUUUUUUCUAACUUGGGUUAAGGUAGCCCUUAGGCUUUGUAUUUUUGCUUUCUUUUGUAUCUUUUUCGAGGCCACUUUGUUACGGGUUUCAGGCAUCUCCGAGCCGUGUUAAAUUGGCCGUAGCUUCUUGGUUCGGGUGUAGCCCAGUGAGCUUGCUACCCUAAGUUAUCCAGGUUUGCCUAAGAUAAUAGUCCCCGAGUGGAUAUGGUUGUGGCUUCUAAAAUUCGAGGGUUGCCUAAAAGAUCUGAUGCCCUCGACGCUCAAUAGUUUGAUAUGUUCGAGUUUUAUUUUUCGGACGGUAUUCCCCGAGUGUGGGGUGAAUAUCCGAACUUUGUUUUAGAUCGGCCCUUAGGCUCGUUUCCACAAUAGAUUGAAAGUAUUGAAUUGUAAAGUAAAAGAACUUUUUCUAAGACAUGAAAUAACUGCAAGGAAAAAUACUCCUAUUUAUUCUUGUGAAAAAUGAUUACACAUGCAUAUAUUUUUUAGCCAGGGCUCGAACAACCUAUCUGGGUACGGUUCAUUCAACCUUUUGGCCCUAUCAAGAUUCCAUCAUUUUGAAGUAAUUUCCUCGCAACAAAGUUGACAUCCAAAGGCAAUGCCCCCAGUAUUCGAGGUUUAUUGUAAGGAACCUCGAAUACUGUUAAAUGUUGUCUUUGACACCGAUUCUUGGUCGGCCUUCGAUUCUAAGUUAGCACGAUCCGUUGUUGCCUCGUUAAAAAACUUGCUGAAAAAUCCAAUUGGGACAAAAACGGUUCAAGGAAAAAAGAGUGCAAUGCGUGCUUUAAGACCUAAAGCUUUGUGUCGCUCCUUGUCGAUAACCUGCAAGUGUCUGUCGAAAAAUAGAAAGAAUUGAAAUGGGGUCGUACCUUCAUUUGGAUUUCGAAUGUUUAAUGUGACCUUCCUCAGUACCAAGUCCCCGUGAACUUUGAACUUGAUCAUUUCUCCUUUCAUUUUGUGUAGUAUUUCGCCCAAACCCCCUGCCUCUAAGGUCUUCGUUAUACGGUUGAUAUCGAUCUCUAUUAGACCUUGGUUCUCGGUUGAUAUCCCUCUUGAUUCUCUCCAUGGGCCUAUUAGUAUAAAUGGACCCAGAAGGGGUCCCCAUUUGAUCUUCCUCGACCUUGAUCUUCGAUUGAUAUCGAUUAUAUACAUCGGCCCGAGUGAAUGUUGGAUACUCGAUCAAAUUUUGCUUCAACUGCUAUGAAGCUAUAAAAUUCCGAGCAUUGAGGCAUUGAGUGAAAGCUUGAACAUCCCAAUCAUCGGUGACCGGUGGCAAAUCCAUUCUUUCCAUUUGGAAUCGAUCACGAAUUCCUUGAGCAUCUCGUUGUCCUUUUGCCUUACCUUGAAAAUGUUUGACUUUCACAUUGCAACCUUAAUGGCUCCGGUAUGUGCCUUUACAAAAGAAUUUGCAAGCAUAGAAAACGAAUCAAUAGAAUUAGGCGGUAAAUUAUGAUACCAUAUCAUGGCACCCUUCGAUAGAGUCUCCUCGAAUUUCUUCAGCAAUACAAACUCAAUUUCGUCAUCUUCCAAGUCAUAUCCUUUGAUGGCGCACGUGUAUGAGGUGACGUGUUCAUUUGGAUUAGUCGUCUCGUUAUACUUAGGAAUCUCAAGCAUACGAAACUUUUUGGGGAUUGGCUUUGGAACCGCACUUGGGGGGAAAUGUAACGACCCGACCGGUAUUUUUGAGAGUUAUAGCCCAUAUCCCCUGUUAACAACUUCCCACAUCUUUUUCUGCUAUUGCAACUUGCUGGGAGGUUUCGUUUUGGUUUUUGGAGUGUUUUAUGACACUUAGUCCCUAAAUAGAGGCUUAAGUCUUAGGAUUUGGACUGUAGUUGAAACUGUGUGAAAAUGACUCCGAAAUGAAGUUCUAUCAAUUUCGUUAGCGCCGUUGUGUGAUUUUGGGCUUUGGGGCGGAUUGGGAUUGUGUUUUGGAGGUCCGUAGCUUAUUUAGGCUUGAAAUGGCAAAAGUCAAAAUUUUGAAGAUUUGUACCGGUAGUGGAAUUUUUUAUAUCGGGGUCGGAUUCUAAUUCCGGAAGUUGGAAUAGGUCCAUAAUGUUGAAUAUGACUUGCGUGCAAAAUUUGAGGUCAUUCAGACGUUGUUUGAUAGGUUUCGGCAUCGGUUGUAGAAAUUUGAAGUUUCUAGUUGUUUAAGUUUGAAUUGGAGGGUGAUUCAUGAUUUAACGUUGUUUGAUAUUAUUUGAGGGCUCGACUAAGUUCUUAUGGUGUUUUAGGAUUGGUUGGUAUGUUUGGUUAAGGUCCCAGGGCCUCGGGUGAGUUUCGGGUGCAUAACAGAUCAAAAGUUGGAUUUGUGUUGUUGCUGAAGUCUUCUGGUAUUUGGUGUUUUCGCACCUGCGGUGGGGAGACCGCAGUUGCAGGAUCGCACGUGCGGAGUGAAGGGCGCAUAUGCGGAGUUUGGAGGCUUGACCAAUGAUCACAGGUGCGAGGGAAGUACUGCAUCUGCGAUGCCCGCAGAUGCGCCUAAGGAAUCGUAGGCAUGGAGGAGGACCGCAGAAGCGUACAGUGUUCCACAUGCCCUUGCCGCAGAUGCGGACCCAGCCCUCAUAAGUGAUUCUCGCACCUGCAAUGGAUUUCCCACAGGUACAGUUGAACGCUCGCAGAAGCAAGUUCACUUGGCAGAAAAGAGAAUUUCGAGGGUUUUAUCCCCUUUUCAAUUUUUGGAGUUGAGAGCUCGGAUAAAGGCGAUAAUUCAAGGAUUUUUAGAGAGAAUUUUGGGGUAAUGAUUCCUAACUCAUUUUUGGUUGUAUUCCAUUAAUCUAUAGUUAAUUUCAUCGUUAAAUUAAGGAAUUUGGGUGAGAGAUUUGGGGAAUUGUGGAAGUUCUUCAACGAAGUUUUUGAGUUUUGAUUGGGAUUUUGAUGUCGGAUUUGGAUAAUUUUGGUAUGAUGAACUCGUGAGUGAAUGAGUGUUCAUAUUUUGUGACCUUUACCUAAUUUUGAGACGUGGGCCCGGGGAGGCUUUUUGAGCGGUUUUCCAAUUUCUUGCUUUAACUUUGAUUUCAUUAGCUAGAUUAGUUCUUUGUAGUUAUAUUUAUGAUAUGUAAUUGAUUUUGGCUAGAUUUGGGCCACUCGAAGCUGGAUGUUCGUGGAAAAGGCAUUGUGACUGAUUGGUCGAUAUUUUAGAUAAUGUUGUGUACCAUAUAUUUGCUCAUGUUCUAUGCAUACAAGAUAACAGGAGCUCAAUGCACAUUGUCGUGAAAUGAAGAUUGUUCUUUUGCAGCAACAAGAAAGUAACUAUCGUUUACCGGUCAUCCUUGUUCAUUAGUGGUUGGGGAGUUCUCUCCAGACUACUAGGUCAAGGGUUCAAUACUGGUACAAACAAUCUCAUAGAAAGUAACUCUCGUUUUAAUUGGUGUUUGUAUAUGACCGUGCUCGAGGACAGUCAUAUGUCUUGCACCUUACCAUAUGCCCCGCUUUUACUAGUCGUGAAUAUCGACAGAUCAGUAGGGUGUUAGUCUAAUUUCAUUUCUAUUGUUAAAAUUUCAGGAAGUAAAAGUAAAAGUUGUUAUAUUAAGAACAAUUGAUCCAUCUACUGAUUCUUGCAUGCCUCUUGGUGAUGAAGCAUGACAUUCCCCUUAUUUAUCUUCAUGUCAAUAUGUUAAUUUUCUCUGUAUGUGUAUAAAGCAAGGGUCCAUUCAUGUCCCAUGUUAAGUCCAAGUGCACCAAUCCCAGCCGAUGUGGGAAACCAGCACCCCUCGCACGUCCACGACCGGACAACUGGAGCGUGGACUAUAUAAGAUGGGGGCCCAAUAUCGGGUGAACAAAGAAAUGGGAUGGGCCUGGCUUUGAUACCAUCUUGAAUUGUGUGAUCAUCUCAUCUAAAAGCUUAAGCUGUUAGAGAGAGCACAGUUUUAUUUACUUAAUUAUGUCUUCAACAUAUAUAUUCUAAAAUUAGUCUUAAUGAUUAGCAGGAUUUCCUAACAGGCAGCCGCUUUCUUCAGGACUAAUUUUGGUGCUUUCAUUGCUGCUAAUAGCUAAUUCUAAAUUUUCUUCUGGAGUAUGUUAUUAUCCUUUGACAUGAGCUGAGUGAAUUUGUAGGAUAGAUUUUAGGAAGCAAAUUUAGCUACCAUGAUCAUGAGACUAAUCUAGGAGUACUAAAGACCAUGGUAAUAUAGGGGAAAGAGAUCUGAAAUAAGCUUUGUUUAAGAGGACCCUGCUCUUCUGAGAUGGAUAAAACUGCAGCUUUUGUCAUCUGCAGUUUGUAUAGCUUGACUUUUUCUUAGAAUUCUUUAUUCAUUCUGCUUUAUCUUUCAAAAUUUUGAUGUUAUAGAAGUUUACAAAUCACCAAGUGAGAAAUGAAAAGUAUUUAAUGCAUUUCUAGUGUAACUCUAUCUGUUAUGUCAUCAACCAUCUAUUUUUAUACUUUGGAACUUUGACCUUUUAGUGUAGUGAAGCAAUUCAAGCAAGGAAUAGCUAAUCCUUGUAGGAAAAAAAUGUCAAGAGCUCGUCACACUUGCAUUGACUUAUAUUUUGGUUCUAUUUGUUGAUUUGCGUCUUUCUAAGCCCACAAUAUCAAGAGUUCAACACAGGUGCAAUGACUUGUACUGUGGUUCCAUUUGUUGUUAUGCAUCUUUCUGAGCCAUUAAAUUGAGGAUGCAAGGUAGAUUUGAGGCGUAGGCCAAGGUAACUUAUUGUACAUUAGUGAAACAAUAUGAAGGAAAACAAAAAAGAAUCCAAGAGGUGCGCAUAUGUAAAGCUUCCAGCUCUAAAUCAACUUAAUGCCCCACAUUUUUGCAGCAUAAUUUGUUGCACAUGGAUCAGCAUGAGAAUUGCUUGUGACUUAUUCUGAACUUUUAUUCUUAACUAGGUAUACCUACUUGAAGUUGCACCGCCCUGCUGUCUAGACAUUGAAAAAUUAAUUUUUUUCCAUAUUCAAUGCUUAAUUUUGAAUGGAAGUGCCUGUUAAAUGUCUUAACUGUAGUUGUUAGGUAACCGGAGCUUGUCUUUAUUUUGUUAAGCAAGACAAACAGUUGCUAAUGGAAGUAAUUUUUGCUACAAAUUAUACAUAAGACCGUGCACUGGAAUAGGCUGCUUCCUAAAUCUACACUUUUGAAUAAGUAAAUCUACAUUGUUUUUACUUGUUAUUACAUAUCAGUGAGGUGUCUUUUCUUUACCAUUGGCCUUUCAGCAGGCGAAAGCUGCUGUUAGGAACAACUAAUCCAUCCCCUACUGAUGACACAGAUCAAAAUGAUGAAGCAUGUUCUUUCCCUGUUCUCAAAAAUUUCACAAUCAGAGAAUUUUCCCUUUAAUUAAUAUACCUGAAUUCGUGUUGGUGGAGGAGAGCAUUAUAGAGAAUUUACUCAACUAUUUAUUUUCUAGACCGAGGAUGUGGUGUUUGACAAGGAACUUCAAGUAAUUUAGGAGUUACUGGAAAAUGCAUAUUGAGAUUUGAGAGCAUUGUUUUAUGGAAAUUGAUUUAAAAAAAUAAUUUAAAAUUGAAAAUGAUUUAUUACACCAAGUUGGUGAGAAGUUAAAUAGGAAAAAUGAAUGAGCUUUAUUCAAGUUCUCUAAUAGGAUACAUGAAAGUUACUUGUGGUGGUAAAAAAAAAUAGAAUUUUUUUAAUAGUACAAUCUUUAAGACUAUAAGAGGAUUAAAGAGAACAUUUAUGUUCUAACAUCUGGUUUUAUUUUAUUUUAUCGUGCAGUUAACAAAAAUAGAAAGGCAUGUCAAUUGUUAACAUCACUCAAACUUUAGAUGAUACAUUUAAGCUACUCAAUUGUUAGCGGUUUAAAAGCAAAAUUGGAUCUCGCUUAGGGACGAGGCACUCGUCGUGUAAACCUUCGCUUCAAAUGUUUUAACGCAAACCCAAAACACCCAGUGCACGAGGCUCGUGUUGACACGAUGCAGUACUUAGCUUCUAGUCCUAAACACAAAUUUAGUGGCUAAUCAUAUAAUAGACCAUUGUAUUUAUUUUUGACCAUUUCUGUAAAAAGUAGCUAGUGGUUCAGCUUGUAUUAGUUAGAGGUUUAUUUUUUAAUGGGCACCCGACCGAGGCCCACUACAUAAAUAUAUGGUGCUGGGUCUAGAAUGAUCCAUCGGGCCAUUUUCUCACAUUUUUAUUUUCUCAAAUUGAGCAAAUUUCCUCUCUUGUUUUGCGAUGAACCCUAAUGAGAUUUCCCUAUUCCUGCUCGAUCUAGAAUGUUGUCAUGGUAUGCCAAGCUGUCCCAGGCUUUAUGUUCUAGGGGUUACACUUAUUCACUCAAUGACUACUCCCUGUUUGUUAAAGGUAGUCCUAGGAUUUUGGUUCUUCUAGUUGUCUCUAUUGAUGAUAUUAUCACUAUUGGGGAUGGUACUGCCGAGAUAAAGAAGCAGUUCCUGUAUUCUCAGUUUAAGAUCAAAGAUCUGGGAUCUUUGCAUUACUUCCUCGGUAUUGAGUUGUGUCUUAUUUCUGGUAGGGUUGUUCUUAAUCAAAAGAAAUUUGUUUCUGACUUGCUUCAGCAGUUUGGAUGUGCUUCUAUCACUCCCGUGGUUUGUCCUUUGGAGUUGAACACCAAAUUGCAUGUUGAUUCAUGUGAUUUACUGCCUGCUCCUGAGUCAUAUAGAAGUCUGGUGGGGAAGCUGCUCUUCCUUACUCUUACUCGACCUAUAUUUGUUUUGAUGUCCACAGCGUAAGCCAAUUUCUGAAGUCUUCUAGGGUCCUUCAUAUGCCUGCUACUCUCCGUGUUCUGAUUUUCCUAUCUUUUCCAUUCAUGCAUAUUCAAACAAUGAAUAGGCUGCUUACCCAGACACCAGGAGGUGACUGAGUUUUAUGUAUUCUUGGGUGGUAGUCUCAUAAGUUGAAAAUCCAAGAAGCAGCAUAUUGUUUCUUUAUUUUCCGCUGAGGCUGAAUACAUGGCUCUAAGUAAGAUGGUUGAUGAGUUGACUUGGCUCUCCAGGCUCUUGGUUGAUUUUGUUGUUCCUGUUUUGCUUCAAAUUUCUAUUUUUUGUGACAAUCAGGCUGCUUUGCAUAUAGCCAAAAACCAUGUGUUCCAUGAAAGGAUCAAGCACAUUGAGAUCGAUUGUCAUUUCAUAUGGGCUAAGCUUGGUAAUGGCUUGAUUUAGUUGUCUCAUGUUUCUACCACCAAGCAGUUAACUGAUGUGCUCACCAAGCCUUUGCCUGGUAAUCUUUAUCAACAAUUCUUGUCCAAGUUGCAGGUCAUCACUUGUUUUACAAGUUGAUUAUGUGUUCCGAGGCAAUAAAAACCUCUUUCUGUCUCAUCUUGAUUUGCGUGCGCAGUCUGGGCACGUUUUUGAAUUUUUUUUUUAAGUGAAAACUAUGUAAAAUAUCAAAAUUGGCUUUUAAAAUUGAUAUAAAGUUCACUUUGGUCAAUAUUCUUGGUAAACGGAUCCGGACCCGUGAUCCGAUGGUCUGAUAGGGUCCGCAGAAAAAUUUGGGACUUGGGCAUAUGUCCGAAAUCGAAUUUCGAGGUCCCAAGCCCGAGAAAUGAAUUUUUAAAGAACAUUAUUUUCUGGAAAACAUAAAGGUUUUUAUGAGUGAAUUGAUGCAUUUUCUUGAUGGUAUCGGCCCCGUAUCUUGGUUCGGGAGCCCGAUACAAGUUUGAAAUAAUAAUUAGGAUGAAUAUGUAAAAUUUGGUAAAGAUAAGAAUUGGUUUGGUAUAAAACGGACCUAAAGUUGAGAAAUUGGAAAAUUUGAUGUUCUUGAGUGAUUUCAUGAAUUUGGGGUUUAUUUCAUAGUUGUUGAUGUUAUUUUGGUUAUUUGAUCGCGCGAGCAAGUCCUUAUGAUAUUUUUAGGUUAGGGUGCAUGUUUGGUUUGGAGCCCCGAGAGAUCGAGUGAGUUUUGGAUAGACCACAGAGUGAAAUUGGACUUAGAAAAAUUGUUAGUGUGUUGUGCGAGAUCAGGCAUGACAAUUGCGAUGCAAGCAGGGGUCACAAAUGCGGUGAUUUUGUCGCAAAUGCAAAGAUCCCAAGGCCAGACAAUUCUCGCAAAUGCAAGUUAUACUUCGCAAAUGCGAAGUCUUCAGUGCAUGCCCAGAAGUCGCAAAUGCAACGAUUCUUUCGCAAAUGCAGCGGAAGCAGGAGUCGCAAAUGCGACAUAUACCUCGCAAAUGCGAAGGUAGCAGGGUCCUUAAGGGUUUGCAAUUGCAAACCUUGGUCGCAAUUACAAUAUCAGAGACCUGUUAAAUGAAUUUCAGACGGGAUUUCAACCAUUUUUACAACUUUCUUAAAACUGGACGAUUUUCGAAAAAAAAGUUCUUCUCCAAAUCAGUUGUAAGUCAUUUCUAACUCAUUUUCUUUAAUCUAUAACAUCUUUUCACAUGAUUUCAAUCCAAAAUCAAGGGUUUUCAUAAGGGAAAUUGUGUGUUUUGGGUAGAACUUAGGAUUUUCAAAGUUUGGGAAUUUGGACCUCGAUUUGAGGUUCGAUUUCAAAACAAAUUAUAUAUUUGAGUUCGUGGGUGAAUCGUAAUCGGAUUUUGAUUCGAACCUCGGGUUUUGACUAUGUGAGCCCGGGGUCGAUUUUUGACCUUUUGGGGAAAUCUUUAGAAAACCUAUUUUCAUGCAUUAGAAUUGAUUCAUUUAGUAUUUAUUGAUAUCGUUAAGUAAAUUGUGGCUAGAUACAAGCAAAUUGGUGGUGGAAACAAGAGGUAAAACAAUUGUUGAGGCUUGAAUUGUGUUUGUGGCAUUGAAGUAAGUGUUUGACCUAAUCUUAGCUUGAGGGAAUAGGUAUUGUGCCUUAUUUGCUAUGUGCUUGUGUAGUGUACGAUGUAUAGGUGUGGUGACGAGUAUCUAUACGUCGUUGUCAAACAUGUCCGUGAGUCUUAAAUUGUAAUCGUUGUGUUCUUUCUAAAUACUAUAAAUGCCUAAGUUGUUGAUUUUCUAUAUUGGGCAAGAAUUAUAAUUAUCCUCGUGGUAUUUGGUUGUUGUUGAGUAUUGGUUCCAGUUGAGGUUUCACUUGUGAAAUUAAAUGUUGGUAUAAGUUUGGUUAUAGCUGAUUCCCUUGCCGGGACAUAUUUAAUUCUUACCGUUGGUUCCCUUGCCGGGAUGUGCUUAUUCUCAUUGUUGAUUCCCUUGUCGGGACAUUGUUGUUUCCUUAUUGUUCCCUUGCCGGAAUUCAUUUGUGAUUAGUGUUGAAUUGUAUAUUAAGAUCGGGUUGCACACCGCAAUAAUAUUAUAUGGGAUCGGGUUGCACACCGCAAUAAUAUUAUAUGGGAUCGGGUUGCAUGUCGCAACAAUGAUAUAUGAUUGGAUCGGGUUGCACGCCACAACAAUGAUAUAUGAUUGGAUCGGGUUGCACGCCGCAACAAUGAUAUAAGAUUGGAUCGGGUUGCACGCCGUAACAGUGUUAUAUGAUUGGGAUCGGGUUGCGCGCCGUAACAAUAAAUAAUAAAAGUGGAUAUUGAUUUGUUACUGUUUCCUUAUUCUUACUGAUGCAAACCUUAAAAUAUUCUUUAUGCUUUUCUCCUAAGUUACUGUUAUUAAUUGAUAUUUUCCCGCAGUAUGUUUUCCCUUCCCGUCUUUAACUACUAGUUUUCGUUAUUAUUUCUUGCCAUAUAUGCUCUAACUGCACAUGUUUAUUUGGUAGUUGUGUCCUAGCCUCGUCACUACUUCGUCGAGGUUAGACUCGACACUUACCAGCAUAUGGGGUCGGUUGUGCUGAUAUUACACUCUGCAUUGUGUGCAGAUCCCGGUGCUGGAGUAUUUGGAGAUUCGAGUAGUCCUGCAAGCGUUCGCAAGCCUUGGCGUCCCCUCCCUAUCUAGUUUCUUUCUGUUCUUUUAUAUUCCAAAGAUAGACAUGUACUUUCUUGUUUAGACUUUAUUUGUAGUUUUCUUAGAUAGACCGUGAGAUUGUGACACCAGUUCUGGGUGGUUUAUGUUAUAGAUUCGUAUUGGUAUUGGCUUAAUUGUCGAAUUUCAUUCUUCCGCUUAUUUAAUUUCCGCUGUUAUAAAAUGUUAAUUUACAACUGUUAAGGGAUUUAAAAGGAAAAUGGUUAAAUAUUUGGAAUAAUCGGCUUGCCUAGCUUUCACUAGUAGGUGUCAUCACGACUCCAGAGGGUGAGAUAUCCGGAUCGUGACAAGUUGGUAUCAGAGCUCUAGGUUGCUUAGGUCUCACAAUUCACUGACAAGCUUGGUAGAGUCUGAGGGAUCGGUAGAGAGACGUCUGUGCUUGUCCCCUAGAGGCUGUAGAGUUAGGAACAGUUUCACUUCUAUUCAUGUCUGUUGUGCGGUUUGGUUUGUCAAUGCUAAUUGAAUUUCUACUCUGUUCUUUCGCAGAUGGCGAGAACACGCGCUUCCUCAUCCACUGAUUAGCAGCCUGAGCCCCCAACAACAGCUUCUCAUCUACUAAUUAGCAGAGCUCAGCCUAGAGCAACAGCACUAGCGGCGGAGCCUCAGGUUGAGUUUGAUGAUGAGGUUCCGGCCUAGACAGUUCCAGUGGGCCCAGCUCAGGUCCCAGAGGGGUUCAUUGCUACCCCAGAACUCUAAGAUGCUCUGGUCUGUCUAGUGGGCCUUAUGGAGAGUGUCACCC
rnacentral:lncRNA from 1 species